UUAAUAUCAUUAUAUUGCAUGCAAUAUUAGUUUUUAUUAGUCGCCAUUAACAAGAUGUUUUCUACUUGAAUUCUCAUUUACUUGUUCAAUGCAAAAAUUAUCUUUGUAAAAGAGAAAAACACAUCUUCAAGUGUCAGCUAUAUUAAAUUAAAGAACUGUUUACCCUUCCUAAGGAAAGCAUAUGUAUCUAAAUAGGCAUCUUUUACCGUUUGCAUAGUAGAUUGGAAAUUAGCAUUUUUGUUCAUUUUCCCAUGUAUGCACAGCGCCUGGAAGAGUAAUACUCCAUGCAUAUCAGAUCAGCCAGCCUACAAUUUUUGUGCAAUAUAUUAUUUGGCAAUCUAAAAUUUGUAAUUUGCAUGAAAUUGCUUAAUUAAAAUACAGUCACUCAGGGUAUUAAUUUCUCUGUCUGGCAGUUCAACGUACUAAAGGCGGGCUACAGAAAAUGUGAAAUCCUGUCAGAUGUAACAGUAAAAUAUUAACAAAAAAAAAUCCACUUCUGGCAACAAAGUGACAGAGUGAUAAUGCUUUUGCCCUGAUUCCGGGUUCAAAUACGAGCUUGGGUUGACAUUGAAACCGACGAGGAAAUUUACAAUAGCAACUCUGGCUUUUUGCCAAUAAAUCUGCAUCACGGACCUUUCUUGGCGAAACCCUUUUCCCUCUCCCCACCCCCUUUACAUUUUUCCCUACUAGCAAAGACGAAGAAGAAAAAAUCCCUUUUCUGAAACCCAAGUCCCUUACUAUUUUCGGCAGCUUGCUUUUGAAAUCAGCAACCCUACUGAUAAAAUGAUCCAAUCAGUCCUUCCCAGUUGUCAAGACAACAGUUCAUAAUUGUACCAGCUCUUUUCAUUGCAGCUAGACAUUUCAUAAAUAGAUAAUUCUCUAAUUGAUCCAGCCAAUCCUACUUUGCAUACCCUGCCAAACUAGCACAGACUCUUUAGUGCAAUCCUGAUUUCUGUAUUAAUGAAUUGAGAAGAUGACAUCAGGCUCUUAGGUUUGCCGUGAUUAAUGAAGUUUAAGACUAUGUGAACCGAAUGGCCAAAAUAUUAGCCUCUGCUGUUGAUAAUGGAGGAGGAACACUGACAAAGUUAACAGGAGCAAAAACUGGGAUGUUACUCCUUCCAUCAUGUUACACCCAUGUUGCCUUCCAGGCUGCAGAAUGGCUAUGUAUGGUAUUGUUGUAACACUGGAAUUUAUGAAAUGUACUUCCAUGUUUGAUGUACUACGUUUGACCUAGCAGUGUGUACAAUAGAAGGCUGCAAUGUAAAUCCUCCCUUAAUUGCUAUGACAUACAUACCAAUGAAAUUAAAAUAUAUGCAGUUUAGUUUAGAAACUGAAUUUCUAUCAGAGACUAAAAGGCACAUUUGUAAUAUGGCUGCAAUACAGUAAAGCAGAGCUUACUGUGUCUGGUCAGUACACAAAUGUUAUAAAUGGGCAUAUUGCAUCCAUAAAUCAUAUCUUUCGGUAGUACGACAUUUUAUGAAAUUCCACUCUGCAAAUUCCCUUAGAAUUAUUUGUGGAGAUGCACAUGUCAGUGGUUACUUUUUCUCCCGGAAAAGUGAUAAGGCCAGAAGAUAUGCUUUGAGGUCACAGGCCACGAGUAACCUUAUACAUAUUAAAAAUUCUGCCAUAUAUCAGUGUUCCAAGAUUUCAGCAGUCUCUGGAACAUUAAACCUUCUGUCAUUUUCAUUCCUACUGGGUUUGAUUCUGCUGAGGUUUAGUGGAAUUAUAAACACAUAUGAAAAUAUGCAGAAUAUAUUUCUUGUUUGAAGUGAUUAUAAUGUGAUGUUUCUGCACUGCAGCAUUCAUAAUAAAGCAAAUGUGGUGUUUCAGUGCAAUAUGACAUCUCAAGUAAUCUUCUCAACAAAUAAGCAGUGUAAAACAAAACAUCCACUCUUUUACCUGCUUUAAAGACACAGAACAAAUGGAUUUAUCCCUACAAACUUUUAAAAAUCUUCUACAUCAGACAUUGCCUUCAAGUUUUCAAAUCCUCAUAGUUUUCAGACACAGUUUUGUCAAAUGAAAUGAUCUAACAUUUGUUAAGUUCUUCCUUACAAAUAAAACAAUAAUAUCUCAAGUAAGUAGCGGCAGUUUUUAAUCUAUUGAUCAUUUUGAGCACCAAAGAAGAUGACUGACAGUGAGCAACAUUUACCUGACACCCUUGAACAUUUCACAGAGACAAGUUGAUAUGAGUUUGUAUAAAUACUAAUAUUAAGCAGAAUUAGCUUUGGAAAAAAUAAAGAAAUUGUACUGAGGUGAAAAUUGUCACUGUCAGGAGAAAUGAAGUUAUAUCAGAGAACAAGUGACAUACAAUUUUCUCUAGAGUGUUUUUAAUAAAAAUAGCUUUUCUUUGAAUAUUUUGAAGUCAAACAUGAGAGGCAAUCUGUGCGUUUGUC